rnacentral:rRNA from 1 species
AUGCUACCCACUGCUGGCAGACUUGCCUUGAUCACCUCGGUUUUAUAUGCUCUGCCUAUCUUUCAGAUUUUGGCCAUUGAGCCCCCUAAGUGGGUGGUAAAAAAGUUUAACAAGGGCUGUAGAGGAUUCCUUUGGGCAAAUAAAGAUGAGGCAACUGGUGGCAAAUGUCUAGUCAAUUGGAAUCAGGUGUGCUUGCCCUAGAAACUUGGGGGGCUCGGAAUCCCUUGUUUAACCCGAAAGAGUGAGGCAAUGAGAUGCAGAUGGCUUUAGCUGUCGUGGAUGGAACCUGAUAGGCCUUGGCAUGGCUUACCUCUACCAAUCAGCACCUCGGUCAGAGCUCUUUUUGAGGCAUCAGUGUAG